rnacentral:tRNA from 1 species
GGCCCCGUCGUCUAAUGGUUAGGACAGGUCCCUUUCAAGGACCAAACACGGGUCCGAUUCCCGUCGGGGUCACCA